GGUUAAGUUAGUAAGGGCGCACGGUGGAUGCCUUGGCACUAGGAGCCGAAGAAGGACGUGACAAACGACGAAAUGCCUUGGGGAGCUGUAAGUAAGCGUAGAUCCAGGGAUGUCCGAAUGGGGGAACCCAAUAGGUAGAUACCUAUUACCCGUAUCUGUUAAGGAUAUGAGGAGGAAGACGCAGUGAACUGAAACAUCUAAGUAGCUGCAGGAAGAGAAAGCAAAAGCGAUUGCCUGAGUAGCGGCGAGCGAAAGGGCAAGAGGGCAAACCGAGAAGUUUACUUCUCGGGGUUGUAGGACUGCGAUGUGGAUUUAAAGAUUAUAGAAGAAGACCUUGGGAAAGGUUGCCAGAGAGAGUAAGAGCCUCGUAUUUUAAAUAAUCUUUAUACCUAGCAGGAUCCUGAGUACGGCGGGACACGAGGAAUCCCGUCGGAAUCUGGGAGGACCAUCUCCCAACCCUAAAUACUCCCUAGUGACCGAUAGUGAACCAGUACCGUGAGGGAAAGGUGAAAAGCACCCCGGUUAUGAUGCGAGGUUAAGUUGAAGAGACGGAGCCGUAGGGAAACCGAGUCUGAAGAGGGCGGUAUAGUAUCAUGAUGUAGACCCGAAACCAUGUGACCUACCCAUGAGCAGGUUGAAGGUGAGGUAAAACUCACUGGAGGACCGCACCAGGGCACGUUGAAAAGUGCUUGGAUGACUUGUGGGUAGCGGAGAAAUUCCAAACGAACUUGGAGAUAGCUGGUUCUCUCCGAAAUAGCUUUAGGGCUAGCGUCGACAGAAAGAUUCUUGGAGGUAGAGCACUGUUUGGGUGAGGGGUCCAUCCCGGAUUACCAAUCUCAGAUAAACUCCGAAUGCCAAUGAAUUAUGGUCGGCAGUCAGACUGCGAGUGCUAAGAUCCGUAGUCGAAAGGGAAACAGCCCAGACCACCAGCUAAGGUCCCAAAAUAAUUGUUAAGUGGAAAAGGAUGUGGGGUUGCACAGACAACUAGGAUGUUAGCUUAGAAGCAGCUAUUCAUUCAAAGAGUGCGUAAUAGCUCACUAGUCGAGUGACCCUGCGCCGAAAAUGUACCGGGGCUAAAACAAUUUACCGAAGCUGUGGAUCCUUUAGGGGAUGGUAGGAGAGCGUUCUAUGUGUGGUGAAGGUGUACCGUGAGGAGCGCUGGAACGCAUAGAAGUGAGAAUGCCGGUAUGAGUAGCGCAAGACAGGUGAGAAUCCUGUCCACCGUAAGACUAAGGUUUCCAGGGGAAGGCUCGUCCGCCCUGGGUUAGUCGGGACCUAAGGAGAGACCGAAAGGUGUAUCCGAUGGCUAAGCAGUGAGGUGUGAUAGGAGUCAAAUGCUUCUAUCUGUAACAUUGAGCUGUGAUGGGGAGCGAAGUUUAGUAGCGAAGUGAGUGACGUCACACUGCCAAGAAAAGCUUCUAGCGUUAAUUUAUACUCUACCCGUACCGCAAACCGACACAGGUAGUCGAGGCGAGUAGCCUCAGGUGAUCGAGAGAACUCUCGUUAAGGAACUCGGCAAAAUGACCCCGUAACUUCGGGAGAAGGGGUGCUGGCUUAAAGUCAGCCGCAGUGAAUAGGCCCAAGCAACUGUUUAUCAAAAACACAGCUCUCUGCUAAAUCGUAAGAUGAUGUAUAGGGGGUGACGCCUGCCCGGUG
rnacentral:rRNA from 1 species